AGAAGGCUGGAGAGGGGACAAUUUUGCCGCUUGCUUCUGGGGGUUUGCCUGGCACUCGCCCUGUUUUCAGACACUUUGCCCACUCCCCAUAUAUGACUGGUGCUCUUCCAGCUUUUGCCCUGGUGUUGAGUCCUAGAGUAGAUGGGUUU